GCCCAAAGAUUUAAGAGGUCGUUUGGUACACAUCAUUUUGGGCGAAUUUGGUGGAAUUCAUUUGCGAAUUCCGGUUUCAACUUGUUUGGCUGCCACACAUUGACCAUUGGAAUUGAAUUGUCGUUUCCACCCAAAUCCCUGCCUCCUCCCCGUCAUUCCUGUGGAUUUGCCAGCUCUCCUCCUCCCCGACACCACUCUCCCUCCCCAAUCCUGCUCCUCCCCAUCCAUGGCGCUCCGAUUCGCCGCCACCAGCGAGCCCUCCCUCCUCCGCCGAUCCCUCUUCUUCAUUUCUUAUCCUUUCCCAUCUCCUAUUCCUCACCUCCCCCUUCAAUCCCCCGACCCCCAGUUGCUCCGCCCCGUGCUCCGUCCUGCUGCCGGGAGCAGCGUCCGAUGACCACAGUUGCCCCGCCCGGACCUCCGUCCUGCUGCCGGGAGCAGCGGCCGGUGACCCCCAGUUGCCCCGCCCGCAGUCCCUGAUUUAGUACCGGAUCGACCUCAAGCACACGGGAUCUGGACACCUCCAGAGGAGAUUGACAUCUUGACCAUCUCUGCACCUUAUCCCUGUUGAGGGCAAAUUUUUGGCAAGAUGUCGGACUUGCACGUUAACAUCAUUGCAUCAUGAUGAGAGGAGGAAGAAAAGAAAGAGGGCAGCAGCUGGAUUUUUUGUGUCGGUUGUCGUGAUAGUUCAACACACCUAUUGUCGGAGGAGGAUUAGAGAGCUUGAUGAUUUCAGCGAGGAUGAGACGGAGAUUAAGAUUAGAAAGAAUAUGCUUAAAUAAAUUUAUCAAGGUUCUAAUAAGUACUGUUAUGAUAGUUUGCGCCUAACUACAUGGUCCUUUGUGGACCUAUGCGCUAUCUUGCGUGAAAGAUGUGGUUUGUGCGACACUUUUGUGUAUCAGUCGAAGAAUCAGUCACAAUCUUUUUGCGAGAAAUAUUUUGUUUGCUGGAGGUAAUUAGAGGGAGAGAAUGAGAUAUAGGUAAAAAAACACAUUUGCCCUUCCUUGCGUCGUCUCCUCCGAGGCGACCCGGGGGCCCCAAAACCUAGCACCGCCAGGCUCGGCCAGCAGCUACUCCUCGUCAGGUGGCGGGCGCUUGAGGUGGGGGAUGUUCGAUCCCCUCUCGGUUGCGUGGCUCGGUGGAUCCAGGCAGCUCGACAGGUGUCCAUCCGGCAAUGGUGAUAUUGUGUGACUUCUUGUGUGACAACGUUGGCGGCUUCGGGCGAAGUUGGGCUGCUGUUGAGCUUUGGUAGUCGGUCUCAUCCGGCGGGUUCGAGGGGUUGCCGUGCCUCGCUUGUCUUCCUUGCGGAGGUGUGAUGAUGAUGACACUAGAUUGCAACCUCGACGGUGCUUUUCUCCUUGACGGUGUGUGUGUGUUCUUGUGUGGGUUGCCAGGUCGUCAUGUGUGCCUUAUGUUUUGCGGGCGUGUUAUGAUGGUUUUCGCCCGGUUUUUCGUUGAUUAACUGGGCAACUCUCUUCGACCUUUUUUUAAUGAAUCGGGCCCUAAGGGACUGCAUCUUGAAAAAAAAAACACGAGAGGUGGGAAUAGAUUACUUGUGCUGAUGCCUUGUAUUUUUUUACUCCAUAUAUGCACUACUUGAAGGUAGUUUUGUUGAUCUAGGUGGAUUAUGUCUUAUUCUACAAAAGAAAAUAUAUAGCUUUCUGAAAUGUGAUGACUUGCAAUACUGCCUAUAAAUAAAUUAAGAUGGAGUUUUAGAAGCUUCACAUUUUAUAAAUACUUCAGUAAGUUUGCUUCUCGUCAUAUUUGCAGGACAACAAAGAAGCCACAUGUUCAAGUCUCUUCAAGUCUUACUUGAGUGAUCGUGAUGCAAGUUUAAGCCUCUUCAAGUCUUACUAGAGUGGUUCUGAUGCAAGUUCAAGCUUCUUCAAGUCUUACUAGAGUGGUCCUUAUGUAAAAGUUCAAGCCUCUUGAAUGCAAAUAUUUAUUUUUUAUGGUUCUAAUGCAUUUGUGAUGGCACACUGUAGUCUUUCGUGUUCCUUCUUAACACAAGCUAUUGGAAGAAAAUGGUU